rnacentral:misc_RNA from 1 species
UCCGUUUUGUCAACGGCAGUCUCGCUAGAGUGCUCUUGCGUAGCAACUAACAAUAGGGGUUGCGCUCGUUGCGGGACUUAACCCAACAUCUCACGACACGAGCUGACGACAACCAUGCACCACCUGUCUCUACUUUCCCCGAAGGGCACCUAAUCCAUCUCUGGUUCGUUAGUAGGAUGUCAAGCCCUGGUAAGGUUCUUCGCGUUGCGUCGAAUUAAACCACAUACUCCACCGCUUGUGCGGGCCCCCGUCAAUUCCUUUGAGUUUCAACCUUGCGAUCGUACUCCCCAGGUGGGAUACUUAUUGCGUUAGCUGCGGCACGGAGGGGGUCAGUCCCCCCACACCUAGUAUCCAUCGUUUACGGCGUGGACUAC